GGGUAUGAGUGAGUAUAACAACUAGAACCGCAACCGGAUCUUAAAAGCCUAUGUAUUGUAUCCUUGUUAGAAGAUACAAAGACAAAGACUCAUACGGACUUCGACUACACCAUCAAAGCUUUGAGAAGCAAGAAGAAGCUUGGUUAGUGUUUUGGAGUCAAAUAUGACUUGAUGUCAUGUGUAAGAUUGAGUAUAAUAACUUAAACCGCAACCAGAUCUUAAAAGCCUAAGUAGUGUUUCCUUGUUAGUAGAUACAAGGACAAAGACUCAUCUGGACUUCGGUUACACCAUCAAAGCUUUGAGAAGCAAGAAGAAGGUUGGUUAGUGUUUUAGAGUGAAAUAU
rnacentral:sRNA from 1 species